rnacentral:rRNA from 1 species
CAGUCGCCACGGGAAUACGUAGGGUGCAAGCGUUAAUCGGAAUUACUGGGCGUAAAGCGUGCGUAGGCGGUUCGUUAAGUCUGUUGUGAAAGCCCCGGGCUCAACCUGGGAAUGGCAAUGGAUACUGGCGAGCUAGAGUGCGUCAGAGGAUGGUGGAAUUCCCGGUGUAGCGGUGAAAUGCGUAGAGAUCGGGAGGAACAUCAGUGGCGAAGGCGGCCAUCUGGGACAACACUGACGCUGAGGCACGAAAGCGUGGGGAGCAAACAGGAUUAGAUACCCGCGUAGUCCCUGUCUCUUAUAC